CUACGGGGUGCACCAGUGGGGAAUAUUGCACAAUGGAGGAAACUCUGAUGCAGCAACGCCGCGUGGAGGAUGACACUUUUCGGAGCGUAAACUCCUUUUAUAUCGGAAGAAGAUGACGGUACUAUAUGAAUAAGCGCCGGCUAACUCCGUGCCAGCAGCCGCGGUAAUACGGAGGGCGCAAGCGUUACUCGGAAUCACUGGGCGUAAAGAGCGUGUAGGCGGAUUAAAAAGUCAGAAGUGAAACCCUAUAGCUUAACUAUAGAACUGCUUCUGAAACUCUUAAUCUAGAAUAUGGGAGAGGUAGAUGGAAUUUCUGGUGUAGGGGUAAAAUCCGUAGAGAUCAGAAGGAAUACCGAUUGCGAAGGCGAUCUACUAGAACAUUAUUGACGCUGAGACGCGAAAGCGUGGGGAGCAAACAGGAUUAGAUACCCUAGUAGUC
rnacentral:rRNA from 1 species